GACGAACGCUGGCGGCGUGCUUAACACAUGCAAGUCGAACGGAAAGGCCCCCUUGUGGGGUACUCGAGUGGCGAACGGGUGAGUAACACGUGAGUAACCUACCCUUGACUUUGGGAUAACUUCAGGAAACUGGGGCUAAUACCGGAUAGGAGCUCCUGCUGCAUGGUGGGGUUGGAAAGUUUCGGCGGUUGGGGAUGGACUCGCGGCUUAUCAGCUUGUUGGUGGGGUAGUGGCUCACCAAGGCUUUGACGGGUAGCCGGCCUGAGAGGGUGACCGGCCACAUUGGGACUGAGAUACGGCCCAGACUCCUACGGGAGGCAGCAGUGGGAAUAUUGCACAAUGGGCGGAAGCCUGAUGCAGCAAACGCCGCGUGCGGGAUGA
rnacentral:rRNA from 1 species